GUCUCUUAGGAGCUAUUAAGAGUCAGGCCUGCCCAGUGAUUGCUUUUUAACGGCCGCGGUACCCUGACCGUGCAAAGGUAGCAUAAUCAUUUGCCUUUUAAUUGAAGGCUAGUAUGAAUGGUUUGACGAGAGUAAAGCUGUCUCACAUAUACUUAAUAAAAAUUAAUUUAAAGGUGCAAAAGCCUUUAUUAACCAAAAAGACGAGAAGACCCUGUUGAGCUUUAAUUUAAAUUGAGUAUUAAUUAUAUAUUCAUAAAAUUUACUUACUCAGCUAAAAUUUUAAUUGGGGCGAUUAAGGAACAUACAAAAGCUUCCUGAUUAUUGUUAUUUAAUAUUCUAUGAAUUAAAUCGAUCCAGCAAUGCUGAUCAACAAAAUGAGUUACCACAGGGAUAACAGCAUAAUUCUUUUUGAGAGCUCAUAUCGAAAAAAGAGAUUGUGACCUCGAUGUUGGACUAGGGUAACUGGAAGGUGCAGCCGCUUUCCUGCUUGGUCUGUUCGACCAAUAAUUCCCU
rnacentral:rRNA from 1 species